GAAGAGACAGCGCCGCCGGCCGUGGGGAGCGGACGCAGUGAUUUGCUCCCCCUCGUGCAGCAACCCCCACACCCAGCACCAGGCCCCCAGAACUCUCCUUCCAGCUGAACUCCCUGGGAACAAGUCAGUUGGGCUGAUCACUGAACUCACAUUUCUGGACCUGAGGAGCCUGUUCCUCUCACGCCCUCACCUGGCUGAGCCGCAGUAGUUCUUCAGUGGCAAGCUUUAUGUCCUGACCCAGCUAAAGCUGCCAGUUGAAGAACUGUUGCCCUCUGCCCCUGGCUUCGAGGAGGAGGAGGAGCUGCUUUCCCCAUCAUCUGGAAGGAAGCUGUGUCUGUUCGAUUUGGUGGGAGGAGAUGUGCAGGGAGCUGUAUCUUGUCCUCCGCUUGUGAAAAACUCAAGGAUGUGGAGAAGAGUAGACCGUGGAACCCUGCUCUUCUGCAGCCAAGCUGAGGGGCAGGAUGCGUGUGGGACAGUGGUAGAGAAGCAGGGGAUAGACUCAUAGGCUGCAACAAAGGUGACUCUGUCCCUGGACACUGCCUCCGUACUUUCUCCUUGCUUCACUGGCCACAGCAUCUCCCUCCAGCCCUCGCUAUGUGCCUCUGCCAUCUUCACCCAUCAUGGAGCAGAGGCUUUCUGCCUCCGAGAUGUGGCACCAUAGUGCGGUGCCCUGUGGCUUCACCGCCCUACUUCCACCUCCGCCCAGCCUGUAAUGUUUAUAUAAGCAGCCUCAAGGACCAAGAACCAUCUGCGAAAGGACACACACAGGAAAUUCAUAAAAGAAAUCUGAAUGGAUAAAACCAUGAAAAAAAGUAUGCUUCAUUAGUAAUUAAAGAAAGGCAAAUAGAGCUGGAAGCAUUUUUCCCUUAGCAAACCAUAACAGAAAAAAAUAAGACCCAAUAUUGGCAAAGAGACUACUGAAAAAACAUUCCCAUACAUUGCGUGUGGGAGUAUACAUCGGUGCAGGCUUCCUGGAUGACAGUUGGGUGAUAUGUGUCAUGUGGCCUAAAAGCCUCCAUGUCAUUUGACCUACGAAUUCUAUCUUUGGGAAUUUAUCCUAAGAAAAUACUUAAGGAUUUAGUUAGUGAUAAGAUGUUCAUCCCAGCAUUGCAAUGGAGAAAAAUGGGAAGCAAUGGUUUGGUUGGGAAUUUAUUCCUUUUCUGCUGUAACGAAAGUUUGCAAUAGGGGAUUGCUUAAGUAAAUUAUUGUAUCUCCAUCCAGAUGGUGGAGUACCGCGCAGACAUUAAAAGUCAUGUAAAAGAACAUCUGACUGAAAGAAAAAUGCUCCUUGAAUAUUAAAAGGUUGUAAAAAUAGUGCAUGUUAUGUGAUUUCAAUUUUGUUUUUUAAAAUAUGGGUGUAUGCUUGUAUACGUAGAGCAGAUAAAAAAGACGGAAGGCAUACUAAAAAAUGUUGAGUGGUUAUCUUUGUAUGGUGGAACAAAGUCACUGUAAUUUUCAUCUUUGGUUUUUCUGUAAUUUCCAAAUUUUCCACAUUUUGUAUUUCAUAUAAUAUAAUUUAAGAGA
rnacentral:lncRNA from 1 species